UACAGCCAUAUCACGUUAAAACACCGGUUCUCGUACGAUAACCGAAGUUAAGCAACGUCGACUCUGGUCAGUACCUAGAUGGGUGACCGUUUAGGAAUACCAGGCGUU